rnacentral:rRNA from 1 species
GACGAACGCUGGCGGCGUGCUUAACACAUGCAAGUCGAGCGAUGAAGUUCCUUCGGGAAUGGAUUAGCGGCGGACGGGUGAGUAACACGUGGGUAACCUGCCUCAUAGAGGGGAAUAGCCUUCCGAAAGGAAGAUUAAUACCGCAUAAGAUUGUAGUACCGCAUGGUAUAGCAAUUAAAGGAGUAAUCCGCUAUGAGAUGGACCCGCGUCGCAUUAGCUGGUUGGUGAGGUAACGGCUCACCAAGGCGACGAUGCGUAGCCGACCUGAGAGGGUGAUCGGCCACAUUGGGACUGAGACACGGCCCAGACUCCUACGGGAGGCAGCAGUGGGGAAUAUUGCACAAUGGGGGAAACCCUGAUGCAGCAACGCCGCGUGAGUGAUGACGGUCUUCGGAUUGUAAAGCUCUGUCUUCAGGGACGAUAAUGACGGUACCUGAGGAGGAAGCCACGGCUAACUACGUGCCAGCAGCCGCGGUAACAC